rnacentral:tRNA from 1 species
GCCCAUCUGGUUGGAAUAGGCAGACACGGCGGAUUCAAAAUCCGCUGCUCGAAAGGGCGUCCCGGUUCGACUCCGGGGAUGGGCA